GACGAACGCUGGCGGCGUGCUUAACACAUGCAAGUCGAGCGGUAAGGCCCUUUCGGGGGUACACGAGCGGCGAACGGGUGAGUAACACGUGGGUGACCUGCCCUUAGCUCUGGGAUAAGCCUGGGAAACUGGGUCUAAUACCGGAUAUGACUCCAUGACGCAUGUUGUGGGGUGGAAAGCCUUGUGCGGCUAGGGAUGGGCCCGCGGCCUAUCAGCUUGUUGGUGGGGUGAUGGCCUACCAAGGCGACGACGGUAGCCGGCCUGAGAGGGCGACCGGCCACACUGGGACUGAGACACGGCCCAGACUCCUACGGGAGGCAGCAGUGGGGAAUCUUGCGCAAUGGGCGAAAGCCUGACGCAGCGACGCCGCGUGAGGGAUGACGGCCUCGGUGUAAC
rnacentral:rRNA from 1 species